rnacentral:misc_RNA from 1 species
GCCAGGGUUUUUAUUUUUUUUAAUGUUUAUGUUAUUUGAAUAAGCCAUUCAAAUAACAUAAAAAAGAAAAUAGAUAUUGACAUGGAUUAAACAAAGAUAUAUAUUAUUCUAUGUUGCAUAAACAAAUUGGCAAAGUAGAGAUGGAAGAUAAAAAUAUGGUCAAAGUAAUAAGAGUCUAUGGUGAAUGCCUAGGAGCUUUAAGGCGAAGAAGGUCGUGGUAAGCUGCGAAAAGCUUGGGGGAGAAGCAAACAUUUAUUGAUCCCAAGAUUACCGAAUGGAGUAAUCCAGCUAGCAAGAUGCUAGCUAUCUAUUAUCUAAAUAAUAGAGGCGAUACCAGGGG